rnacentral:lncRNA from 1 species
UGAGAUAUCUUGAAAUCUCUAACAGUCGCUUCAAACCCUUGUCUUUAUACAUCCGCGUGCAAUUUUCUUCAUAUCUCACAAAAUAUAAGCUCAAAUGCCAUGAAAUUUAUAUGCAUAGCUUCUUAAUACAAAAUUUUACAUUCUCCAAAAAGUUUGAGCCAAAAAUUCAUCCGAAAACUCAAGUCAUGGCUUCAACCAUUACUACAAACAAACCCGCUUAUUUACUGCUUUUGAUUUGGAAGCGUCGCCUUCAACUCCUUACAACUCUUUCAUAUGAACUCCAAAAGCAAUAAUUCUUUCGUAAAAGACGUGGGCCUU